AAAGUGUAGCUUAACAAAAAGCAUCUGGCUUACACCUAGA
rnacentral:tRNA from 1 species